rnacentral:rRNA from 1 species
UACGUAGGGUGCGAGCGUUGUCCGGAAUUAUUGGGCGUAAAGAGCUCGUAGGCGGUGUGUCACGUCGGCCGUGAAAACCUGCAGCUUAACUGUGGGCGUGCGGUCGAUACGGGCAUCACUGGAGUUCGGCAGGGGAGACUGGAAUUCCUGGUGUAGCGGUGAAAUGCGCAGAUAUCAGGAGGAACACCGGCGGCGAAGGCGGGUCUCUGGGCCGAUACUGACGCUGAGGAGCGAAAGCGUGGGGAGCAAACAGG